GGGGGGUGACCUAUACAUGCAGUCGAACGCUUCUUUCCUCCCGAGUGCUUGCACUCAAUUGGAAAGAGGAGUGGCGGACGGGUGAGUAACACGUGGGUAACCUACCCAUCAGAGGGGGAUAACACUUGGAAACAGGUGCUAAUACCGCAUAACAGUUUAUGCCGCAUGGCAUAAGAGUGAAAGGCGCUUUCGGGUGUCGCUGAUGGAUGGACCCGCGGUGCAUUAGCUAGUUGGUGAGGUAACGGCUCACCAAGGCCACGAUGCAUAGCCGACCUGAGAGGGUGAUCGGCCACACUGGGACUGAGACACGGCCCAGACUCCUACGGGAGGCAGCAGUAGGGAAUCUUCGGCAAUGGACGAAAGUCUGACCGAGCAACGCCGCGUGAGUGAAGAAGGUUUUCGGAUCGUAAAACUCUGUUGUUAGAGAAGAACAAGGACGUUAGUAACUGAACGUCCCCUGACGGUAUCUAACCAGAAAGCCACGGCUAACUACGUGCCAGCAGCCGCGGUAAUACGUAGGUGGCAAGCGUUGUCCGGAUUUAUUGGGCGUAAAGCGAGCGCAGGCGGUUUCUUAAGUCUGAUGUGAAAGCCCCCGGCUCAACCGGGGAGGGUCAUUGGAAACUGGGAGACUUGAGUGCAGAAGAGGAGAGUGGAAUUCCAUGUGUAGCGGUGAAAUGCGUAGAUAUAUGGAGGAACACCAGUGGCGAAGGCGGCUCUCUGGUCUGUAACUGACGCUGAGGCUCGAAAGCGUGGGGAGCAAACAGGAUUAGAUACCCUGGUAGUCCACGCCGUAAACGAUGAGUGCUAAGUGUUGGAGGGUUUCCGCCCUUCAGUGCUGCAGCAAACGCAUUAAGCACUCCGCCUGGGGAGUACGACCGCAAGGUUGAAACUCAAAGGAAUUGACGGGGGCCCGCACAAACGGUGGAACAUGUGGUUUAAUUCCAAGCAACGCGAAGAACCUUACCAGGUCUUGACAUCCUUUGACCACUCUAGAAAUAGAGCUUUCCCUUCGGGGACAAAGUGACAGGUGGUGCAUGGUUGUCGUCAGCUCGUGUCGUGAGAUGUUGGGUUAAGUCCCGCAACGAGCGCACCCUUAUUGUUAGUGCCAUCAUUUAGUUGGGCCUCUAGCGAGACUGCCGGUGACAACCGGAGGAAGGUGGGGAUGACUUCAAUCAUCAUGCCCCUUAUGACUGGGGUACCACUUGCUUCAAUGGGAAGUAACCAAGUCCUUGACCGCGGGGCUUGGAAUUCUUUAAAGUUCUUCAAUUCCGAUUGAGGGGGGACCCUCCCCGUGAAACCGGAAUCCUUUAAUCGCGAAACACACCGCGGGAAACUUUCGGGG
rnacentral:rRNA from 1 species